rnacentral:rRNA from 1 species
UACGUAGGGUGCAAGCGUUGUCCGGAAUUAUUGGGCGUAAAGAGCUCGUAGGCGGUCUGUCGCGUCGGCUGUGAAAACCCGGGGCUCAACCCCGGGCCUGCAGUCGAUACGGGCAGACUAGAGUGCGGUAGGGGAGACUGGAAUUCCUGGUGUAGCGGUGAAAUGCGCAGAUAUCAGGAGGAACACCGGUGGCGAAGGCGGGUCUCUGGGCCGAUACUGACGCUGAGGAGCGAAAGCGUGGGGGCGAACAGG